CAUCCUAUCAUUUAAUGUCGUCCCACAGGGGGUCUCUGUCAUGGAAAUCCACCCCACUGCCAGCGGGACCCCACUGAAACUUUCAUAAGAGUUCAGUCAAGAAGACCCUCAUCCCGUAAAUCUGCCCUUUGAUCCCCUUCACAUCCAGCCCUAAUCCAACGGGAUUAACGUCAGAUGGCGAUUCCUGGUUUUUCAGCCAGAUGUUCCAGGUUGCCCUUCUUGGCAGGCGGUACGCCUCUCUUCACGGGAUAUCCCAUCCGCACC